UAGGACAACGUUAAAUUCCUUGAAGGAUUUC
rnacentral:piRNA from 1 species